rnacentral:rRNA from 1 species
UACAGAGGGUGCAAGCGUUAAUCGGAAUUACUGGGCGUAAAGCGCAUGUAGGUGGGAUAAUAAGUUUGAUGUGAAAGCCCUGGGCUUAACCCGGGAAUGGCGUUGAAGACUGUUAUUCUAGAGUUUGACAGAGGGUCGUGGAAUUUCCGGUGUAGCGGUGAAAUGCGUAGAGAUCGGAAAGAACACCAGUGGCGAAGGCGGCGACCUGGGUCGAGACUGACACUGAGGUGCGAAAGCGUGGGGAGCAAACAGG